rnacentral:lncRNA from 1 species
AGAAGCUGAGACAAAGAUGCAGCAUUUAAAAGCAGUGGUACAAUUGGCAGCUAUGUGGUGCUUUUUUUUUUUUUUUUUUUUUUUUUUUUUUUUUUUGUAAUGUCAUUUUUUUUUUUCUCAUCUCCAGACGGGAAAGCCUCCGUUUCACACCCAGAUGAGGAAUAAAGAAAAGUCCCUGUUCAGACUCCAGGAAGGGGGCCAGAUUCCUGGGGCCGUCGGAGCUGUCCAGGCCUCAGAGGCACCAGCUCCUCCUUGCUCGGUACCGGGGCGCAUUGCUGCUGGAUCGCRGCCUGAGACCUCAGGGCCCCGUGCAAAUAAACCUGCCCACGUGCRAGGACAGCCGAAGGCUUUGCUGCCUGGGAUGUGCUCCAGACCCUCCGCGCUGGAUGAGUAAUACUGGCCGCCUGUUCACUUGUGCUCUCAUGGGGAUCGCUGCAGACUUUGCAGAUCACAGAUAAUGUGAUGCUUUAAAUGAACUUGCCGUUCUGCUUGGGUCUCGGUCCUGCAGCCAGGCGAUGGCUGGGAAGGGGCACAAGCAUCRGAGUCCCAGACUGUCACUGGCCCCAGCAGACCAGGCAGCCAGCCCCAUAAGCCAUUUUUCACCAAUCUUCUCUUCCUGCGUUAAAAAAUAAUAAUAAUAACCCCUCCACACACGUUGCAUGUUCCAGCAAAGGCGUUUGGGCUGGAGGAGGGCAGCCCCGUGCAGAUGCUGAAAYAGAUGCUUUAUGCACUGUUUAUCAUUUUGGUUUUUUAAGCAGCUUUCCCCUGGCAGUGGUUGCUGCCCUCUAAGCAAGCAGCCAAGCAACCUGCAYGCGCCAGCAGUCACCUUUGGAAGGGAGAUGAUCCUGCAGGGAAGCCAGGGAGGCGGCGUGGUCACGGGGAGCAGAACUGAGGACGGGAAAGCGUCAUGCAGGUGAACACCACGGUCAUGUUUCUACGCUAGGCCGAAGCAGUACGUUAAGCUCUUUCCAUCAGUAUCUCCACGGGUUCUGCAGAGGCAGCGUGUGCCGCGUUUGCAGGGCUCGCGCUGGCAGCACGGAUGCUCCCGC